UACAUUGUUAUCAAUCUUAGAGACACGUUC
rnacentral:piRNA from 1 species